rnacentral:rRNA from 1 species
GCGGGUAAUAUUGGACAAUGGGCGAAAGCCUGAUCCAGCCAUGCCGCGUGUGUGAAGAAGGUCUUCGGAUUGUAAAGCACUUUAAGUUGGGAGGAAGGGUAGUAACCUAAUACGUUGCUACUUUGACGUUACCGACAGAAUAAGCACCGGCUAACUUCGUGCCAGCAGCCGCGGUAAUACGAAGGGUGCAAGCGUUAAUCGGAAUUACUGGGCGUAAAGCGCGCGUAGGUGGUUUUGUAAGUUGGAGGUGAAAUCCCCGGGCUCAACCUGGGAACUGACUCCAAAACUGAAUGACUAGAGUACGGUAGAGGGUAGUGGAAUUUCCUGUGUAGCGGUGAAAUGCGUAGAUAUAGGAAGGAACACCAGUGGCGAAGGCGACUACCUGGACUGAUACUGACACUGAGGUGCGAAAGCGUGGGGAGCAAACAGGAUUAGAAACCCGUGUAGUCC